rnacentral:lncRNA from 1 species
CUGUAUUUUCAAAACAUUCAAAACCAACCCCAUCUUGCUUUAUCUUUUUGUUAUUCUUGUAAGGCUAUAUGUAGCCAAUCCAAUUUUUUGAUUGAAUUAGAAAAACAUUCUCCUAAUUUUUUACUACAAAGAAUUCUUGACAAUUGAUAUUAGAGCCCUAUCCCAACGGCCUGAUUGAAGAAUAGUAGCCUUCUAAGGUACUUAGAGACGAGAAUAUGAUGACUAGGAGUGGAUUUGAGCCAACAGCAAUCCUACAAUUCAAUGGGCAUUAUGAUCACUGGUGUAUGCUCAUGGAGAAUUUCAUGCAAUCAAAAGAAUAUUGGAGUAUAAUAGAUGGAAUACCUGCAGCAGUAGAAGGAGUUCAAAUCACAUGAGCACAAAAGAAGGUGAUAGAUGAUGCGAGGUUGAACGAUAUAAAAUCGAAAAAUUAUCUCUUCCGGGCUAUAGGUAUAUCAAUUCUGGAAAUUAUCUUGAACAAGGAUAUAGCCAAAAGCAUUUGGGAUUCCUUGAAGCAGAAAUAUUAGGGUACGGCAAGAGUACAACAUGUGCAACGACAAGCUCUUCAAAAGGAGUUUAAAAUGCUUGUAAGAAAUUAAACCCUAAUACCAAGAUCUUUAGAAUUCAUGAUUUUCACUUUUGAAUUUAAUUGAUCAAGAAGCAUACCUCGUUCCAUGGCAAUAAUUGAGAAUUUUAUAUCUACAAAAUAAGAAACUGUUAAAUUAAGGAAAUUGUUCUCUCACUUUUCCUCUCUAUAAUUGAAUGAAUUUAUUGAUGAAUUUCAUUCAUAUUUAUAGGCAGAGAGAGGCAGUUUCCUAUGGGCCAUAAAACUCUCCACUUUUCAUCAAUGUGGACAAUUAUAAAAUUGCCACUUAUCAAUUCGGCCAAUAGGAUUUUAGUAAUAUUAACCACAUUUAAUUAAUUCUUUAAUAUUACAUGGGCCACAAAAUAAUUGGUUUUACAUUCUCCCACCUGGCUCGUGUAAUAUUACUUCGUUAUGUGGUAUAUAAAAUAAUGCACAUACCAUGAGCUAAAAUCCAUCAUACAUUAGCCACCUAAUAUAUCAUCCUUAAAUAAAGAUUAGUAAGAGUCAUAGCGGUUUUACACCAUCAUAUUAGCAUAAUUCCUUCCAUUUACUACAAUAUUAGUCCCUACCCAACAUGACACAUAUUGAGAAGUUCGAUAAUUGUAUUACAAUAAUGUCUUCGAAAAGACUAUCAGCAUUCACAUAAUCCAUUCAUGUACAUGUAGCAACAGUUAUUACAGGAAUAAUAUUUUGUCAAAAACAAUAUAUAAAUGAGCUCAAAGUGUCAAUACAUAAGCAUCAUAAAUUACAUAAUAAUGUCAAUAAUAAUUUUCAAUAAUGUCCAUCCUUUUGACAUGUUCAUUAAAUGUCUUUGGUGGCAAUCAUUUCAUUAAUGGAUCUGCAGUCAUAAGAUUGGUACUAAUGUGUUCGAUUGACACCCUUUGUUUCUGAAUUUCUUCUUUAACGGCAAAGUACUUCAAUUCCAUGUAUAUAGCACCUUUAGAGUACCUGUCGUUCUUUGAAAAGAAGGCCGCUGUAGAAUUGUCACAAUAAAGUUUCAGCGGCUUGGCAAUACUGUCAACAAUUCCAAGCCCUGAAAUAAAGUUUCGCAGCCAAUUUCCUUGAAUUGUGGCUUCAAAGCAUGCCACAAACUUUUCUUCCAUAGUGGAUGCAGCGAUGACUGACUGUUUCGCACUUUUCCAUGAUAUAGCCCCUCCAGCCAAGAGGAACAAAUAGCCAAAUGUGGACUUUCUAGUAUCCACGCAUCCAGCAAAGUCUGAAUCUGAAUAUCCAAUGACCUCCAAGUUAUCAGAUCUCCUAUAAGUGAGUAUGUGAUCUUUCAUUCCUUGCAAGUAUCUCAAUACUUUCUUUGUAGCUUUCCAAUGUCAAGUCCUGGGUUACUUUGAUACCUGCCCAGCAUUCCGACAACAAAACUGAUGUCUGGCCUGUUGCAAGUCUGAGCAUACAUUAAGCUCCCAACAAGAGAUGCAUAAGGAAUAACCAUCAUUUGUUUGCAUUCCAAUUCAUUUUUAGGACAUUGCAUGAGACUAAACUUGUCUCCUUUUUGAAUUGGAACAACACUCGUCGAACAAUUUUCAUAUUAAAUCUCUCUAAAACUUUAUUGAUAAAUGCUUUCUGAGACAACCCCAACAAUCCUUGUGACCUAUCACGGAAUAUUUCAAUUCCAAUCACAUAGGUUGCCUCUCCCAUAUCUUUCAUUUCAAAAUUUUUGGAGAGAAAUUUCUUAGUCUCGUAUAAUAGAACAAAAUCAUUAGUAGCUAGCAAGAUAUCAUCAACAUACAGAAUCAGUAAUAUAAACUUGCUCCCAUUGACCUUUAGAUAUAUACAUCGAUCAAUGACGUUUUCCUUAAAUCCAAAGGAAGUAAUGAUAUCGUUGAACUUAAGAUACCAUUGACGGGAAGCAUGUUUAAGUCCAUAUAUUGAUUUCUUUAACUUACACACCAUGUGUUCCUUCCCUUCAAAUGAAAAACCUUCAGGCUGAUCCAUAUAAACUUCUUCCUCUAAAUUUCCAUUUAGAAAGGUGGUUUUCACAUCCAUUUGAUGUAGCUCUAAGUCAUAAUGAGCUACUAAAGCCAUUAUAAUUUUGAGUGAGUCUUUCUUAGAGACUGGUGAUAAUGUCUCCUUAUAAUCAAUGCCACCUUUCUGAGUAAAAUAUUUGGCAACAAGUCUAGCUUUAUAUCUAUUGAUAUUAUCAUUAGAGUUGCGCUUAGUCUUAAAGACGCAUUUACACCCAACUCUUUUACAUGAUUCUGGUAAUUCAACAAGAUCCCAGACUUCAUUAUGUUCCAUAGAUUUCAACUCAUCUUUCAUAGCAUCUAACCACUUAUCAGAAUUAGCGCUCUCAAUGGCCUGUGAAAAUGAAACUGGAUCAUCAUCAACAAUUUCCAAAUCAAAUUCAAACUCUCGUAGAUAAACCAAAUAAUCAUUAGAAAUAGCAGUUCUACAUUGUCUUUGUGACCUUCUUAAUGCUAUUUCUUGUGAUUCAUUUAAUGUAGGUUUAUCAGUGGUAACUUCAUUGUGGGGUGUUUGAUCAUUUAUUUGUUGUUCGGCUAUAUUGUCAUGCCGUUCAACAGUUUGAGGAACAAAAACAUUAGAAGAAGUUGAGGAUAGAGAAACUUGAACUCUAACUUCUUGUAUUUCCACAUUUCGUGGUUCCAAACUCCCACUAACUUCACCAUUCUCAAUAAACCUAGCAUUUCCAAUUUCAACAAUUUUAAUACUAUGGUUAGGACAAUAAAAUAUAUACCUCUUUAAUUUUUUUGGAUAAUCAAUGAAAAAUCUACUGAUUGUUCUUGAGUCCAGUUUCUUUUCAUGUGGAUUAUAAAUUUUUGCUUCUGUCGAGCAACCCCAAACAUGCAGGUGCCUUAAACUGGGUUUCCUUCCCAUUCACAAUUUAAAAAAAGUCUUUGGAACUGCCUUACUAGAAACCCUGUUUUGUAGAUACAUAGCAGUCUUUAAUGCAAACAUCCACAAAGAUAUGGGUAAAGAAGAAUUGCUUAACAUACACCUAACCAUUUCUAUUAUAGUAAAAUUACACCUUUCAGCCACACCAUUUUAUUGUGGUGUGCCUGGCAUAGUGUAUUGAGAACAUAUGUCAUGUUUUUCAAGAAUAGCAAAUGGACCAAGGUGUUGUCCACUUUUAUCAUACUUUCCAUAGUAUUCACCACCUCUAUCAGAUCUAAUAAUUUUCACCUUUCUGUCUAAUUGUCAUUCAACUUCAUUGACAAAAAUAUCUAAAACAUUUACAACUUGAGACUUUUCAUAUAGCAAAUAGACAUAACCAUAACGUAAAAAAAUCAUCGAUAAAGGUAAUAAAAUACUUUUCUCCACCAAAUGAUGGAACAUCAAAAUGCCCACAUAUAUCGGUGUGUAUUAUCUCAAGAAGUUGUGUGCUUCUUGUAGCUCUUUUCUUUAUAUGUUUGGUUUGUUUACCCUUAAUACAAUCUACACAAAUUUCAAAAUCACUAAAAUUUAAGUCAGGAACGAUUUCAUUAUUUGCUAAUCUUUUGAUCAUUUCCUUGGAUAUGUGACCCAAACUUAUGCAACAAGUUUGCAGAUUGUUUAUUCAGUUAACCACGUUUAGUAACAACAUUAUGAUGUAAGAUCAAAAGAGUCUCGGCAAAGAGGUUAUCAAGAUUUAAUUUAUAUAAGCCAUCACAAAGAAUAGCGGAACCGAUAAGAUAAUUUUGUUUAAACAAAUUUAAAUGUCCAUUUCCACCAUCUAAGAAAUAUCCAACAGAAUCAAGUUUUCGAUAAAGAAACUAAAUUGUAAGAAAUAGAAGGUACAUAAAGUGUUUGAAAUAAAUCUAAAUGAUGUCCCGUAUCUAAAAUCAAACGAUAAAUUCCAAUGGCUUCAACUGGAGCUUUGACUCGAUUUUUCAUGAAGACAAAUUUUUCAUUUGAAUUUAUAGUCUGGAUUGAAAGAAAUCACUGCAUCGUAUUAGUAACAUGAAUGGUACAUUCAGAAUCAAUCCACCAAGUAUUAUAAGGAACUUCUACCAAAUUAGAUUCUAAACAUACAUAAGAAAUAAUCUUACCUUUACUUUCGAACCAUGCCUUACGUUUCAGGCCGUCCUUUUUAUGGUGCCCUGGUUUACGACAGAAAUGACACGUAUCUUUCUUGUGUUCCUUAUUGUGGAUUUGGGCAAAAGACUUAUUUAUCUUUAGUGGUCCUUGCUUAAUGCCAUUUCCAGAUCUUUUCUUAUAUUUAUUUCCAGCUCCUUGAUGACUUACAAGAUGAAUAGAAUGAGUUUCUUGAUUCUUAAGCCUUGUCUCCUCUUACACGAGCAUACAGUGCAAUUCAUUCACAUUUCAUUUAUCCCUUAAGGUAUCAUAGUUCAUAUGGAAUGGACCGUACUCGGGGAGGCAAAGAGUUGAUGAUAAAUUGUACCAGAAAGUUCUCAUCCACAGUCAUCCCAAGAGUUUUAAGUCUUGCUGCAAUGUUACUCAUUUCAGUAACAUGCUCAUACACGGUACGAGAACCAUCAAAUUUUAUGGUGGUUAAAGUACCCAUCAGUAUGCCAGCAAGUGAUUUGUCAGCUGUUUGGGAACGUUCUUCCACAAACUUCAUAUAUUCCUUAGCAUUCUCAGUUUUAGGGAUAGUAGACUUGAUAUUCUUUGCUAAAGUCAUGUGCAUAAACAUUAAGAUUAAUCUGUUUGACCUUUCCCAAGCCUUAUGGAAAGAUAUUUCAUCAAUACUACUCUCAUAAGUAAGAUCAGCAAGUUUCUCAACUCGAAGUGCCAAGUCCAAGUCCAAAACACCUAUGUUGAAUUGGACUUGUUCACACUAGUCAGAGAAAUUGAGGCCAUUGAACAGUGGUACAGAUGAAGCAUGUGAAUGUAAAGAAAUGAAAACAGAUACUGCAAAAUAUAAAAUGUUCUAACAUUAAUACUUUGAGUUUUAAUUUCAUAUUCAGAUAACAAUAAAUGUGUAUCGUGGUUCUCCUUUGGGUGAUAUUACGUUAUACCAUCAUAAUAAAUAUAAUAAUGCUAAUUUAAUUUCACUUAAUUGGUAAUUAAAUAUACUCUAAUCAAACAUGUAUGAUAUCUUUGGAUAUACAAAACACAUCAGACCAAAUAAAUCAAUUAACCACAAUCACGUUCAAGAGUAAUAAAAUUAACCGAUCAAUCUUUGAGCGAUCUAUAAUAAUUUUAUAAUCUAUGAACGUCAAUAUACUCUUGACACUAAUAAUAAAGUCAUUUUCAUUUAUAAGCAUCAAACUAUCAGGAGUAAUUGACAAAUAAAUUAUGUAAUUUAGUGUUCGAAAUACCAUAAUGUUUUGCCACUUUUGUGACUAACAAACAACAUUAAUCAAACAUUAAUUGCGUAAAUAAAACAUUUAUCACUUAAUGCUUUUAGUCAUUUUCUUGUUUAUUCAUUAUUGACAUAAAUAGACUAGGCACGUUCCAACACAAAUAAACAAGGCGGUAAAAUUCUGCAUAUAGUAAAGAUGCAUUUCUUGGCGAGCGGAAUAGUCAAUUCUCAAUAAAUUACCCAUUAAUUGACUAUUAACAUGCUUAAGUAAUAAACAGAACAAAAGUUUGCAGUCAAGGCAGCACUAAUAAUUACAAUUAGUUAUUCAUUCACAUGUAGAAUUAAAAAUCCAUUUAUUUAUCAUAUAUCAUUGAUCAAUUUGGCCCCAUAGAGUAAUUGGAAAUUGAAAAAAAUGCUUCAACCAAAAAAUACAGUGACGGCUCAUGAUGGCAAAAUCAAAGAUUGGACUUCUCUCAAACCAAUCAUAAUUUAACAGACACAACAUGGUAUUUCAUUAGUAAUUUGACAGAGAGUAAAUGAGAAAUCGCACCAUUGCAAUAUAAAAUAAAAAUUGACUCAUGAGCCACAUUUUUUCAAAAAAAUACAUUCUUAAAUAGUGAUUUAACAUCAUUUCAAUCACACAUUUUUUAAUAAAAUAAUAUUACACUUAAAUUCAAAAAUUUUCUUUAUUUUUUAACCACAUAUUUUUCGUCAAUACACUAUUCAAAAAUGUAUUUUACGGAAAAUAAUGUGACUCAAACAAGGGCUUAAUGUGUAUAGAUUUCAACCCAUAAAUAAUAAUAAAACCUAUGACUGGCCAUCAUCAAUAGUAAAUGCAGAGUCUAUGUCGGUACCAUUAUUAAAAAAAAAAAAAAGAUUGAACCCCAACUUUAAGGGUUCCACCAUCCCGUCUCUAGAGCUUUGUGAGGGAGGUAAAUCGCGGGAUGUGCCCCAGUAGACCAGGAAACAAGAGCUGCAUAUACACUGCGCCUACAAAUGGUCCAAUUUCAUAUCUCAGGAAUCGAACCCCUACACUGCGACUGUCAGUAAGUCGUGAGAUAACCUCACUCAUGUCCUUUACACCACUGGAUUAUGCUCCGAGGGGCAUGUUGAUACCAUUAUAGAUUAAACGAGUUUUAAAUUCAUUGGAAACCAAUUCAUGGAACUAUCCACUAAUAAUUAUCCAUGGCCAUUGAUACGGUUAAACAUAAUUUUGUGGUCAGAAAAUAUUCAGCAGUGGAACCAUCAUUCUAAUUUCAGAUCUUAACCCAUAAAUUUAUAAAGACAGUUAAAGAUCCCAUUUGAAAACAGUAUCUUUAAAGAAAAAUCAAGAAUUUCACAACUUGGCUCUGAUACCACAUGUAAGAAAUUAAACCCUAAUGUUAAGAUCUUUAAAAUUCAUGAUUUUCACUUUUGAAUUUAAUAGAUCAAGAAACAUACCUCGAUCCAU